rnacentral:rRNA from 1 species
UGGGGAAUCUUGCACAAUGGGGGCAACCCUGAUGCAGCGACGCCGCGUGAGCGAUGAAGCCCUUCGGGGCGUAAAGCUCUUUCGACCGGAACGAUAAUGACGGUACCGGGAGAAGAAGCUGCGGCUAACUACGUGCCAGCAGCCGCGGUAAUACGUAGGCAGCAAGCGUUGUUCGGAGUUACUGGGCGUAAAGAGUGCGUAGGCGGUUUUCUAAGUUCGGUGUGAAAUCUCCCGGCUUAACUGGGAGGGUGCGCCGAAGACUGGGAAGCUGGAGUGUGGGAAAGGCGGUCGGAAUUCCUGGUGUAGCGGUGAAAUGCGUAGAUAUCAGGAGGAACACCGGCGGUGUAGACGGCUUGCUAGACCAUAACUGACGCUGAGGCACGAAAGCGUGGGUAGCAAACA